AUGUGGACCGUUGGAUUAACCAACGGUCCAAUUACCACCACCACCCGAUGAAGAAAAGUAGUCGUUGGCUACAGGACAAGGCCCACUUUUCACUCUCAUCCGUGGGUCCCAGCAGCUUUUGUGGGCUAAAUUUGUGACCUAUAUUUACCUUCAUUUUAAGUUUUAGGUUUUAGGUUUGGUUUAGGUUUUGGGUUGGAGUGGAUUUGG
rnacentral:lncRNA from 1 species